AGUGAACGCUGGCGGUAGGCCUAACACAUGCAAGUCGAACGGCAGCACCGUAAGAGCUUGCUCUUACGGGUGGCGAGUGGCGGACGGGUGAGUAAUACAUCGGAAUCUACUUUUUCGGGGGGGAUAACGUAGGGAAACUUACGCUAAUACCGCAUACGACCUACGGGUGAAAGCAGGGGAUCUUCGGACCUUGCGCGAUUGAAUGAGCCGAUGUCGGAUUAGCUAGUUGGCGGGGUAAAGGCCCACCAAGGCGACGAUCCGUAGCUGGUCUGAGAGGAUGAUCCGCCACACUGGAACUGAGACACGGCCCAGACACCUGCGGGAGGCAGCAGUCGGGAAUAUUGCGCAAUGGGCGCAAGCCUGAUCCAGCCAUACCGCGUGAGUGAAGAACGCCUUCGGGUUGGAAAGCCCUGUUGUUGGGAAAGAAAAGCAGCAGGUUAAUACCCCGCGGUUCUGACGGUACCCAAAGAAUAAGCACCGGCUAACUUCGUG
rnacentral:rRNA from 1 species